rnacentral:rRNA from 1 species
CCUACGGGAGGCAGCAGUGAGGAAUAUUGGUCAAUGGGCGAGAGCCUGAACCAGCCAAGUCGCGUGAGGGAAGACGGUCCUAUGGAUUGUAAACCUCUUUUGCCGGGGAGCAAAAAGCGGUACGUGUACCGCAUCGAGAGUACCCGGAGAAAAAGCAUCGGCUAACUCCGUGCCAGCAGCCGCGGUAAUACGGAGGAUGCGAGCGUUAUCCGGAUUUAUUGGGUUUAAAGGGAGCGUAGAUGGGUUGUUAAGUCAGUUGUGAAAGUUUGCGGCUCAACCGUAAAAUUGCAAUUGAUACUGGCAGCCUUGAGUACAGUUGAGGUAGGCGGAAUUCGUGGUGUAGCGGUGAAAUGCUUAGAUAUCACGAAGAACUCCGAUUGCGAAGGCAGCUUACUAAACUGCCACUGACAUUGAUGCUCGAAAGUGUGGGUAUCAAACAGGAUUAGAUACCCCAGUAGUC